UUGAACGCUGGCGGCAUGCCUUACACAUGCAAGUCGAACGGCAGCACGGGAGCAAUCCUGGUGGCGAGUGGCGAACGGGUGAGUAAUAUAUCGGAACGUGCCCAAUCGUGGGGGAUAACGCAGCGAAAGCUGUGCUAAUACCGCAUACGAUCUGAGGAUGAAAGCGGGGGACCGUAAGGCCUCGCGCGAUCGGAGCGGCCGAUGUCAGAUUAGGUAGUUGGUGGGGUAAAGGCUCACCAAGCCGACGAUCUGUAGCUGGUCUGAGAGGACGACCAGCCACACUGGGACUGAGACACGGCCCAGACUCCUACGGGAGGCAGCAGUGGGGAAUUUUGGACAAUGGGCGAAAGCCUGAUCCAGCAAUGCCGCGUGCAGGAAGAAGGCCUUCGGGUUGUAAACUGCUUUUGUACGGAGCGAAAAGGCUCUCUCUAAUACAGGGGGCUCAUGACGGUACCGUAAGAAUAAGCACCGGCUAACUACGU
rnacentral:rRNA from 1 species